rnacentral:rRNA from 1 species
UGAGGAAUAUUGGUCAAUGGGCGCAAGCCUGAACCAGCCAUCCCGCGUGCAGGAAGACGGCGCUAUGCGUUGUAAACUGCUUUUCCAGGGGGAGAAACUUGCGCACGUGUUGCGCAAUUGACGGUACCCUGGGAAUAAUCAUCGGCUAACUCCGUGCCAGCAGCCGCGGUAAUACGGAGGAUGCAAGCGUUAUCCGGAUUCAUUGGGUUUAAAGGGUGCGUAGGCGGACUAUUAAGUCAGUGGUGAAAUCCUGCAGCUUAACUGCAGAACUGCCAUUGAUACUGAUAGCCUUGAGUUUGGUUAAGGUAGGCGGAAUGUGUAAUGUAGCGGUGAAAUGCUUAGAUAUUACACAGAACACCAAUUGCGUAGGCAGCUUACUGAGCCGACACUGACGCUGAGGCACGAAAGCGUGGGGAUCGAACAG